rnacentral:rRNA from 1 species
UGGGGAAUAUUGCACAAUGGGCGAAAGCCUGAUGCAGCAACGCCGCGUGAGUGAUGAAGGCCUUCGGGUUGUAAAGCUCUGUCUUUUGGGACGAUAAUGACGGUACCAAAGGAGGAAGCCACGGCUAACUACGUGCCAGCAGCCGCGGUAAUACGUAGGUGGCAAGCGUUGUCCGGAUUUACUGGGCGUAAAGGAUGCGUAGGCGGAUUUUUAAGUGAGAUGUGAAAACCCUAAGCUUAACUUGGGGACUGCAUUUCAUACUGGAAAUCUAGAGUGCGGGAGAGGAGAAUGGAAUUCCUAGUGUAGCGGUGAAAUGCGUAGGGAUUAGGAAGAACACCAGUGGCGAAGGCGAUUCUCUGGACCGUAACUGACGCUGAGGCAUGAAAGCGUGGGUAGCAAACAGGAUUAGAUACCCUGGUAGUCCACGCCGUAAACGAUGAGUACUAGGUGUAGGAGGUAUCGACCCCUUCUGUGCCGCAGUUAACACAAUAAGUACUCCGCCUGGGAAGUACGAUCGCAAGAUUAAAACUCAAAUGAAUUGACGGGGUCAUAGCUGUUUCCU